CGGGGUUUCUAUCUGCUACUUAGAAUACUCAGCAUGUACCCUUGCAGCAAUAGUUAUCUUCACGUUCGGUGCCUCUAGGACGCGCGCGCGCACACACACGUGCGCAUGCGCACAGACACACACACAGAGCCAUGCACCCUAGGCAAGCGCUGUCCUUGCUCCGGGGCUCGCGGGAGAGUUCCCUCGGGGCCUUUGGAUCCCUCACACUGUGCUGCGGUCCCUUGGUGCAUACAGGGUUCUACAAAGCAGCCUCAAAAACACAAAAGAAAAAAGACACUUCCUGGCUGUAAGUUCACUGAAGACUGGAAUUGUGGACCAAACAAGAAAUUUUGGAUGGUUGGUGAAAGGAAAUUCUGCUAAGGUCCUGAUUAAUACCUAAACUGGAUGUGUUCUCAGUUAAACACAACCUAUAAGUAAGCAUUUGAGGCUUCAGCGGGGACUUCUACAGAGCAGAACUGGGGCUCUCGUCCUGCCCAGGGUCUGCAGAGGAA